GAGCCUUAGUAUCCUGGGACGGUCGCACUGCUAGUGCGUGCCAGAGCCCGGGUUCAAACUCUGGGGGAAAGUGGCCCGCAGACGUCUUUGGUGUGGACAAGUGAGCAGACACGCUGAAAUCGUCCCCACAGGCCUCUGAAGAGGGGAUUUUUCUAUAAGAUGAGAAUCUUAAACUCUGACUGUCGACAAAACCGGUCACCUGCCCACCCUUCCCGACAAAGGCUGCAAUGUAGCUAUUGAUGGAUUCGGGGCAGCAGGGCCAUGAUGAGAGUCCCAUCUUUGGACAUCUCAAUACCUUCUACACUCCCUUAAAAAACUUACAUUGCUGAAAACCCCAGCCCUGUUAGUUUACCGCCGAGUAUCUGCCGCAUCGACAUGUCUUCAUAUAAACAUAGCCAUACACCCAACACCCAGAGACCAAGAAGAAGGGCCCAGAUCACCAGCAUCCCUUUGGCCCAACAUAAAGAACCUGAGCCAAGUCACGCCUGGACUGGUGAGUUGAGUUAGUGGAAUUAACGGAGGGACUGUGUUUCUCGGCCACCUGUUAGUGACACAUUUCUGAGCAAGUUCCCACCUGCUUCCCCAGAGAUGGAAUCACCUCGAAGGCAGCGGUCUUUGAGCCGCUGUGUGAUUGUGCUUGCCUGCGGCGCCGAGGAGCCCGGCGCUUUCUCUGUUCCUAGCAAAACCCUCCGGUGCCGCCCCUUGCCGACCGACGUGCAUGACCCGCUUGCAAAUGUCGCUGCGGGGGGCUGCUUUCUUGCAGUUUCUGGUUGGAGAAACCACCCAGGUUUUACCAAGGACCGGGCUCACGUGGCAAGGAUGAAAUCCACCUUUUACACCGGAAAUCCAAGAACACCCUCCACCGUCGGGUGGCCGCUGCUAACUACGGGCUUGUGUUUGUGCCAGGGAGAAACAGCUCCGAGGCCAAGUGAGCUGACUCAGGCCCUCAGAAGGGCACAUUUUCACGACCUCCCUCCCCAUGUGUCUCGGCAUGAGCGACGUUCCGGAAGGAACGGGCCGGGUCCUACGCACCCUCCUGCCAGCAGCCAAGGCUGCCUCUCUUCCCCUGGGCUGCAGAAGUUCAGAGAAACUAGGAUCACGCAGAGGGCCUUUUCUGCCCCUGAUGGCCUGCUUUGUUCUUCUAACAGCUUUAUUGAGGCAGAAUUUAUAUAUAUAAUAAUCACCCAUUUUAAGUGUGUAAUUCAAUAGUGCUUAGUAAAUUUGCAGAUUUGUACGAGCAUCACCACAAUCUAAUUUUAGAGCAUUUCCACCACUGAAAAGAAGCCUCUGUGCCCCCCUAA